rnacentral:tRNA from 1 species
AAUCAUUUAGCUAUAAGUUAAGUGUGUACUUUGAAAGUAUAAAAAAGAAGAAUUCUAAUGAUUU